rnacentral:rRNA from 1 species
UACGUAGGGUGCAAGCGUUAAUCGGAAUUACUGGGCGUAAAGCGUGCGCAGGCGGUUUUGUAAGUUUGCCGUGAAAGCCCCGGGCUCAACCUGGGAAUUGCGAUGAAGACUGCAAGGCUUGAAUCUGGCAGAGGGGGGUAGAAUUCCACGUGUAGCAGUGAAAUGCGUAGAGAUGUGGAGGAACACCGAUGGCGAAGGCAGCCCCCUGGGUCAAGAUUGACGCUCAUGCACGAAAGCGUGGGGAGCAAACAGG